AUUGAACGCUGGCGGCAUGCCUUACACAUGCAAGUCGAACGGUAACGCGGGGCAACCUGGCGACGAGUGGCGAACGGGUGAGUAAUACAUCGGAACGUGCCCAGUAGUGGGGGAUAGCCCGGCGAAAGCCGGAUUAAUACCGCAUACGACCUACGGGUGAAAGCGGGGGAUCGCAAGACCUCGCGCGAUUGGAGCGGCCGAUGUCAGAUUAGGUAGUUGGUGAGGUAAAGGCUCACCAAGCCAACGAUCUGUAGCUGGUCUGAGAGGACGACCAGCCACACUGGGACUGAGACACGGCCCAGACUCCUACGGGAGGCAGCAGUGGGGAAUUUUGGACAAUGGGCGCAAGCCUGAUCCAGCAAUGCCGCGUGCAGGAAGAAGGCCUUCGGGUUGUAAACUGCUUUUGUACGGAACGAAACGGCUCUCACUAAUACUGGGGGCUAAUGACGGUACCGUAAGAAUAAGCACCGGCUAACUACGUGCCAGCAGCCGCCGUAACAC
rnacentral:rRNA from 1 species